ensembl:snRNA Gm22101 predicted gene, 22101
GUACUCCCAAUGACAGCACGCAUGUUAAAAUUAGAACAAUAGAAGAUUAACUCUGCUCUUGUACAAAGAAUGCAUGCAAAUUUGGGAAAUGUUUCUUAUUUUU